rnacentral:rRNA from 1 species
CCCUUAGAUGUUCUGGGCCACACGCGCGCUACACUGAUCAGUGCAACAAGCAUCCGUCCUUGGCCGACAGGCCCGGGCAAUCUUUGAACGCUGAUCGUGAUGGGGAUAGACUUUUGCAAUUUUUGGUCUUCAACGAGGAAUUCCUAGUAAACGCAAGUCAUCAACUUGCAUUGAUUACGUCCCUGCCCUUUGUACACACCGCCCGUCGCACCUACCGAUUGAAUGGUCCGGUGAAGCCUCCGGAUUGGCGUGCACCCUCGGGUGCUGCCGAGAAGUUGGCUAAACCUUACCAUUUAGAGGAAGGUGAAGUCGUAACA